rnacentral:tRNA from 1 species
GCGGGUGUAACUCAACUGGUAGAGUGUCAGCCUUCCAAGCUGAAUGUUGCGGGUUCGAGUCCCGUCGCCCGCUCCA